UUUGUUACUUCAAACCAAUCGGACUUCGGUCUGACAUCAAGUGAUAUUGAACAAUUUAGCUGAUCGCACGGUCUAAGAACCGGCGACAUAUCCUUCAAAUGUCUGCCUUAUCAACUUUCGAUGGUAGAUUAUGCGCCUACCAUGGUUGUAACGGGUAACGGAGAAUCAGGGUUUGAUUCCGGAGAGGGAGCCUGAGAAACGGCUACCACAUCCAAGGAAGGCAGCAGGCACGCAAAUUACCCACUCCCGGCACGGGGAGGUAGUGACGAAAAAUAACAAGCUGGUCUCAAUGAGUUCCAGCAUUGUGAUGGGAACAAUUUAAAUCUUUUAUCGAGGAUCUAUUGGAGGGCAAGUCUGGUGCCAGCAGCCGCGGUAAUUCCAGCUCCAAUAGCGUAUAUUAAAGUUGUUGCGGUUAAAAAGCUCGUAGUUGGAUCUAGGAUUAGGGCUACGGUCGUUCAGCUUGGACGUACUGUAUGCCCGACUCCUUUUCUCUAGUAUUCGAUUGUUGCUCUUAAAUGAGUGACUUUAGUUGCUGGAACUUUUACCUUGAAAAAAUUGAAGUGCUCAAAGCAGGUU
rnacentral:rRNA from 1 species